rnacentral:rRNA from 1 species
GACGAACGCUGGCGGCGUGCUUAACACAUGCAAGUCGAACGAAGAGCGAUGGAAGCUUGCUUCUCUCAAUCUUAGUGGCGAACGGGUGAGUAACGCGUAAUCAACCUGCCCUUCAGAGGGGGACAACAGUUGGAAACGACUGCUAAUACCGCAUACGAUCUAAUCUCGGCAUCGAGGAUAGAUGAAAGGUGGCCUCUACAUGUAAGCUAUCACUGAAGGAGGGGAAUGCGUCUGAUUAGCUAGGUGGAGGGGUAACGGCCCACCAAGGCGAUGAUCAGUAGCCGGUCUGAGAGGAUGAACGGCCACAUUGGGACUGAGACACGGCCCAGACUCCUACGGGAGGCAGCAGUGGGGAAUCUUCCGCAAUGGACGAAAGUCUGACGGAGCAACGCCGCGUGAGUGAUGACGGCCUUCGGGUUGUAAAGCUCUGUUAAUCGGGACGAAAGGCCUUCUUGCGAAUAGUGAGAAGGAUUGACGGUACCGGAAUAGAAAGCCACGGCUAACUACGUG